rnacentral:misc_RNA from 1 species
GAUGAAGAACGCAGCGAAAUGCGAUAAGUAAUGUGAAUUGCAGAAUUCAGUGAAUCAUCGAAUCUUUGAACGCGCAUUGCGCCCGCUAGUAUUCUGGCGGGCAUGCCUGUUCGAGCGUCAUUUCAACCAUCAAGCCCUGUUUAGGCUUGUGUUGGGGCCCUGCGGUUGCCGCAGCCCCCUAAAUGCAGUGGCGGGCUCGUUGUCACUCCGAGCGCAGUAGCGUGUCUCGCUCUGGGCGUGGCGGCGGGUGCUAGCCGUGAAACACCCACUAAGGUUGACCUCGGAUCAGGUAGGAAUACCCGCUGAACUUAAGCAUAUCAAUAAGCGGAGGA